rnacentral:rRNA from 1 species
AGUGAACGCUGGCGGCGUGCCUAAUACAUGCAAGUCGAACGAAUUAGCGCACGGAUGAGUCAUAUCUAGUUAAUCUGCCCUACACAGAGGAACAACAGUUGGACACAACUGCUAAUACCUCAUAGUGUAGGAUGAGCCUAUCUCGUUUCAGCUAGUUGGUAAGGUAAUGGCUUACCAAGGCUAUGACGCGUAACUGGUCUGAGAGGAUGAUCAGUAAAAUUGGAACUUAGACACGGUCCAAACUACUACGGGAGGCAGAAGGAAGGAAGAGUGAGCAAUGGGGGAAACCCUGAAGCAGAAACGACGCGUGGAGGAUGACAAUUUGCGGAGCGUAAACUCCUUUGAUCAGGAAAGCGGUACCUGAUGAAUAAGCACCGGCUAAAUCCGUGCCAGCAGCCGCGGUAAUUC